rnacentral:tRNA from 2 species
ACCGCCUUAGCUCAGGGGUAGAGCAACGCACUCGUAAUGCGUAGGUCCCGGGUUCAAAUCCCGGAGGCGACCC